rnacentral:rRNA from 1 species
UACAGAGGUCUCAAGCGUUGUUCGGAUUCACUGGGCGUAAAGGGUGCGUAGGUGGUGGGGUAAGUCGGAUGUGAAAGCUCGGAGCUCAACUCCGAAAUGGCAUUGGAAACUACCCUGCUAGAGGAUUGGAGGGGGGACUGGAAUACUUGGUGUAGCAGUGAAAUGCGUAGAUAUCAAGUGGAACACCAGUGGCGAAGGCGAGUCCCUGGACAAUACCUGACACUGAGGCACGAAAGCUAGGGGAGCAAACAGG